GGGGACAGCGCCUCUCCCGCAUCCCGCCAGCCCCGGGGCCCCUGGGUGGAUGGGGGGGGGGGGGGUUCAGCCUCCAGCCGCUGCGAUCUCCGGGUUCCUGUUUUGACUUCUUAGUCCUUCCAUCACCGUGUGCCCACUUCUCUGCACUCAAGCCCCUGGAUUUAAAUGCUGAAUUGGACUCUUUUUGUUUGUUUUUUAAAGCAUUAUUUAUUAUGAACCAUUUUAUUUAUUAAUAUUUUGGGGCCGUGCCACACGACUCGUGGGUGGUCUUAGCUCCCUGACCAGGGAUUGAUCCUAUGUCCCCUGCAUUGGCAGUGUGGAGUCUUAACCGCUGGACCGCCGGGGAAGCUCCUGACUGAUACCAGUGUCUGGGAAGGAGAUGCUGGGACUUGGGUCAUCCCAUUGAGCAUGUCCCUGUAUUCUGAAAACUGGAAUCCCACAAUGAAGACUCAUAUUGGCAAGUGGUCUUUUACCAGCACUCGCUCAGCCUGAAUACUGCACACCUGAGGAUGAACCUCACUUCUCCUGAGCAGGGCCUCAGUUUCCCCAAAGAAAGAAAUCAGAAGGAAGGAAAUUCUGACCUCUGCUACAGUAUGGACAGGCCUCGAGGACAUCACGCUGAGUGAAAUAAACCAGUCCCAGAAAGACA
rnacentral:lncRNA from 1 species